rnacentral:tRNA from 1 species
UGAUAGAUGACAGAGUGGUCAAAUGUGCUUGUUUGGAACACAAGUUUAGGAUAACUAAGCGAAGGUUCAAAUCCUUCUCUAUCCU